rnacentral:rRNA from 1 species
UCCUACGGGAGGCAGCAGUGCGGAAUUUUGGACAAUGGGGGCAACCCUGAUCCAGCCAUGCCGCGUGUGUGAAGAAGGCCUUAGGGUUGUAAAGCACUUUUACUGUGAAGAAGANGAUAUAUUUAAUAGAUAGUAACUUGACGUA